AUUGAACGCUGGCGGCAUGCCUUACACAUGCAAGUCGAACGGCAGCACGGGUGCUUGCACCUGGUGGCGAGUGGCGAACGGGAGAGUAAUAUAUCGGAACGUACCGUAUUGUGGGGGAUAACGCAGCGAAAGCUGUGCUAAUACCGCAUAAUCCCUAAGGGGGAAAGAGGAGGACCGUAAGGCCCUGCGAAAGUAGAGCGGCCGAUACCUGAUUAGCUAGUGGGUGAGGUAAAGGCUCACAAAGGCAACGAACAGUAGCUGGUCUGAGAGGACGAUCAGCCACACUGGGACUGAGACACGGCCCAGACUCCUACGGGAGGCAGCAGUGGGGAAUUUUGGACAAUGGGGGCAACCCUGAUCCAGCAAUGCCGCGUGAGUGAAGAAGGCCUUCGGGUUGUAAAGCUCUUUUGUCAGGGAAGAAACAGCAGCUCUAACACAGUUUGCGAAUGACGGUACCUGAAGAAUAAGCACCGGCUAACUACGUGCCAGCAGCCGCAGUAA
rnacentral:rRNA from 1 species